UGAUUUUUAAUCAUUUGAUAUUAUCUAUUCACAAAAUCUAUAUAUCAUCUAUUAGUUUCCAAAAUUACGUUACCUACAUCCACGCAAGAAUCAGAAAAUAAACAAUAUCAAGCAAUAUAAUUGAUCAAUUCUUACCAAUAAAUUCAGUAAUUCCUAAACUCAAUCACAUUCAGUUUUUCCCCAAUUUCAACGAACCCAUCAUCACAAAAGAUAUCAUUAACUAGCAAAAGUCGGAAUAUUCUUGAAAUCAAAACUUGCAAAUCACGUUUACCUAAUCUUUAUUGUAAAAUAUCCCGGUUUUAUGAUGAUUAAACCAAACAAGGAAUAUAUAGUUAAUAAUUCAAAACAGUAUAUGCCAAUAUCAAUUAUUUCGAAUCACAACUAACAAAAUAUUUACUUAAUAUCUACAAUUUAACCUACCUUUUCAUAAGCAACUAUAAAUACUUCUACCAAGUUGCAUCAAACGAAAAACAUCAAGCCCUCCUAAACCUAAACAACCUAAACAACCUAAACAUGUCUCUAGCGAUCAAUUCUGUUCCACUCACAAAAGUCAGACCUUAUAAAAAAUAAAUGGGAGUCCAAGUUAAAUGCUUACAUUCCUGGAAGCAAAACACAUCGUUUGGUGGAGAGAGCUUUGAGUUGGUUUUAGCCGAUAUAAUGGUUACUUUUAUUUCUAAACUUUUGGUUAAUUCUAUAUAAACUUUAUAACUAUUAUCUAACGUUAAACGUGUUUCUUUGUAGGUUUUCAGUCAAGAAUUAAAUUGAACGGACCUGGAAAUGUCUACUAUUCAUGUUGUUACAGUUUCAGUCUCUAGCCGCUCUCUAUGUAGCAUUCUAACAUAAUUCUCCACUUUUUGUUGCUGACUGAUGUAUCUCUAUUAUAAGGUCCUGUAAAAAUUUGUAGAAUAAGGCUUAAAAUUUGGUUUGAGAAUAUAACAUAAUUUCUUAAUGAUUGUAUACUAACAGACUUAUUGUUCUGAUUCGAUCAACAUAACUUCUUUUAAGAAGCUCGAGACCAACAAACACAACCGUUUGUGAAGAAUAGAUCAAAUAGUCAUCCUUCCAUUAUACACUUGAGGUUUGGUUUUGUUGUGGGUUUCUUCUUACAUUCUUUGUGUUAUAUAUAUCUCAAAUUCAGA
rnacentral:lncRNA from 1 species